AUCUAUGGCUCAAUACAUGCCAUGGGCUCAAUUAUGGCUUUCAAAUGCGUGCUAUGGGGCCAGAUCUGUGGGCUCAAUGCAGUGCUAUGGGGCUCAGAUCUAUGGGGCUCAAUGCAGUGCUAUGGGGCUCAGAUCUAUGGGGCUCAAUGCAGUGCUAUGGGGCUGAGAUCUAUGGGGCUCAAUACAUUGCUAUGGGGCUCAGAUCUAUGGGGCUCAAUGCAGUGCUAUGGGGCUCAGAUCUAUGGGGCUCAAUGCAGUGCUAUGGGGCUCAGAUCUAUGGGGCUCAAUACAGUGCUAUGGGGCUCAAUGAAUGGGGGAACAGCAAUGAAGGGACAUCAAUGGAGGGGACAGCAAUAUGGGGGACACCAAUGAGGGGGACAUCAAUGGAGGGGACAUCAAGGAGAGGGACAUUCAAUGGGGUGGGGCAUCAAUGAGGUGGGGACAUUAGAAACGGGCACCCAAGCAAUGGGGACUGAAUG
rnacentral:lncRNA from 1 species